UUGUACAUGCAGGGGAGCUUUUCGGCGGAUGGUCGAAAGCUGAGAAAGGCGGCAAGCCUGACCCUUUGAACCUGUUGGUUAGGACCAACGUAGGGAGCAGCGUCAUGAGUGAC
rnacentral:ncRNA from 2 species